GCAAGUCGAGCGCGCCCUUCGGGGUGAGCGGCGGACGGGUGAGUAACGCGUGGGAACGUGCCCUUUUCUACGGAAUAGCCCAGGGAAACUUGGAUUAAUACCGUAUACGCCCUUAGGGGGAAAGAUUUAUCGGAGAAGGAUCAGCCCGCGUUAGAUUAGAUAGUUGGUGGGGUAAUGGCCUACCAAGUCUACGAUCUAUAGCUGGUUUUAGAGGAUGAUC
rnacentral:rRNA from 1 species